UCAAGCUACAAAGGGCGCAUGGUGAAUGCCUUGGCAUCAGGAGCCGAUGAAGGACGUGAUAAGCUGCGAUAAGCUUCGGGUAGGCGCACAUAGCCUGAGAUCCGAAGAUCUCCGAAUGAGGAAACUCACAUGGGAAACCCCAUGUAUCAUUAAGUGAAUACAUAGUUUAAUGAAGGUAACCCAGGGAACUGAAACAUCUAAGUACCUGGAGGAAGAGAAAGAAAAAUCGAUUUUCUUAGUAGCGGCGAGCGAAAGGGAAAGAGCCCAAACCGGAAACUUGUUUCCGGGGUUGUGGACAGAAUAUAACGAUUGGUAGGACGUAAUCGAAGAGAACUGGAAAGUUCCACCGUAGAAGGUAAUAGUCCUGUAGAUGAAACGGGAAAUCAAUCAGUUCUGAUCCAGAGUACCACGAGACACGUGAAACCUUGUGGGAAGCAGGGAGGACCACCUCCCAAGGCUAAAUACUACCUGAUGACCGAUAGUGAAGCAGUACCGUGAGGGAAAGGUGAAAAGAACCCCGGGAGGGGAGUGAAAUAGAACCUGAAACCGUGUGCCUACAACCGCUCAGAGCCCCUUAUGAGGGUGAUGAGGUGCUUUUUGUAGAACGAGCCAACGAGUUACGGUAUGUAGCAAGGUUAAGUACUUAAGGUACGGAGCCGAAGGGAAACCGAGUCUGAAUAGGGCGACUAGUUGCAUGCCGUAGACCCGAAACCGGGUGACCUAUCCAUGGCCAGGUUGAAGCGAGGGUAAAACCUCGUGGAGGACCGAACCACGUUGCUGUUGAAAAAGCAUGGGAUGAGCUGUGGAUAGCGGAGAAAUUCCAAUCGAACCCGGAGAUAGCUGGUUCUCUCCGAAAUAGCUUUAGGGCUAGCGUCGAGUAUGAGUAGUGGAGGUAGAGCACUGAAUGGGCUAGGGGGCAUAGCGCUUACCGAACCUUAUCAAACUCCGAAUGCCACAUACUUUGAGCUCGGCAGUCAGACUACGAAUGAUAAGAUCCGUGGUCAAAAGGGAAACAGCCCAGAUCGUCAGCUAAGGUCCCAAAGUGUAAGUUAAGUGGGAAAGGAUGUGAGAUUUCUAAGACAACUAGGAUGUUGGCUUAGAAGCAGCCAUUCAUUAAAAGAGUGCGUAAUAGCUCACUAGUCGAGAGAUCUUGCGCCGAAAAUGUAACGGGGCUAAACUUACCACCGAAGCUACGGGCUUGAACUUAGUUCAAGCGGUAGGAGAGCGUCGUAACCGGGCUGAAGUCGUACCGUAAGGAGCGGUGGACUGGUUACGAGUGAGAAUGUUGGCAUCAGUAGCGAGAUGUGGGUGAGAAUCCCACAGGCCGAAAACCUAAGGUUUCCUCAGGAAGGUUCGUCCGCUGAGGGUUAGUCGGGACCUAAGCCGAGGCCGAAAGGCGUAGGUGAUGGACAACUGGUUGAUAUUCCAGUACCACUACCAUCGUUAUUAUCGAUGGCGUGACGCAGGAGGAUAGUGUGUGCUAGCUAUUGGAUGCUAGUCUAAGCGUUUAGGCAGUGAGAGUAGGCAAAUCCGCUCUCAUAAUGCUGAGGCGUGAUGGGGAAGGUUCUACGGAACCGAAGUACAUGAUUCCACGCUGCCAAGAAAAGCGUCUAGAGAGAGAAGUAGUGCCCGUACCGCAAACCGACACAGGUAGGUGAGGAGAGAAUCCUAAGGCCGGCGGAAGAAUUACAGUUAAGGAACUCGGCAAAUUGACCCCGUAAGUUCGCGAGAAGGGGUGCCUACGAGAGUAGGCCGCAGAGAAUAGGCCCAAGCAACUGUUUAGCAAAAACACAGGUCUCUGCUAAAGCGUAAGCUGAUGUAUAGGGGCUGACGCCUGCCCGGUGCUGGAAGGUUAAGGGGAACACUUAGCGCAAGCGAAGGUGUGAACUUAAGCCCCAGUAAACGGCGGCCGUAACUAUAACGGUCCUAAGGUAGCGAAAUUCCUUGUCAGGUAAGUUCUGACCCGCACGAAUGGCGUAAUGACUUGGGCACUGUCUCAACUGUAAAUCCGGCGAAGUUGUAGUGCGAGUGAAGAUGCUCGCUAUCCGCGAUUGGACGGAAAGACCCCGUAGAGCUUUACUGUAGCUUAGCAUUGAGUUUUGGUAUUGUCUGUACAGGAUAGGUGGGAGACUAGGAAACCAGGGCGUCAGCCUUGGUGGAGUCAACCUUGGGAUACCACCCUGACAGUACUGAAAUUCUAACUGGCGGCCAUGAAUCUGGUCACAGGACAUUGUUAGGUGGGCAGUUUGACUGGGGCGGUCGCCUCCUAAAAAGUAACGGAGGCGCCCAAAGGUUCCCUCAGAACGGUCGGAAAUCGUUCGAAGAGUGCAAAGGCAGAAGGGAGCCUGACUGCGACACCCACAAGUGGAGCAGGGACGAAAGUCGGGCUUAGUGAUCCGGUGGUACCUCGUGGGAGGGCCAUCGCUCAACGGAUAAAAGCUACCUCGGGGAUAACAGGCUGAUCUCCCCCAAGAGUCCACAUCGACGGGGAGGUUUGGCACCUCGAUGUCGGCUCGUCGCAUCCUGGGGCUGAAGUAGGUCCCAAGGGUUGGGCUGUUCGCCCAUUAAAGCGGCACGCGAGCUGGGUUCAGAACGUCGUGAGACAGUUCGGUCCCUAUCCGUCGCGGGCGUAGGAAAUUUGAGAGGAGCUGUCCUUAGUACGAGAGGACCGGGAUGGACUGACCUCUGGUGUACCAGUUGUUCCGCCAGGAGCACAGCUGGGUAGCUAAGUCGGGAAUGGAUAAACGCUGAAAGCAUCUAAGCGUGAAGCCAACCUCAAGAUGAGAUUUCCCAUAGCGUAAGCUAGUAAGAUCCCUUGAAGAACACAAGGUUGAUAGGUCGGGGGUGUAAGCAUGGUAACAUGUUCAGCUGACCGAUACUAAUAGAUCGAGGGCUUGACCAA
rnacentral:rRNA from 1 species